rnacentral:rRNA from 1 species
UGGGUUGACUCCAAUUGAACCGCAGCUUCACCCUUGUGGUGCUCCCCCGCCAAUUCCUUUAAGUUUCAUAUUUGCGUACGUACUUCCCAGGCGGCAGACUUAACGGCUUCCCUGCGGCACUGCAUUGGCCACAAGCCAAUGCAUCACCGAGUCUGCAUCGUUUACAGCUGGGACUACCCGGGUAUCUAAUCCGGUUUGCUCCCCCAGCUUUCAUCCCUCACCGUCGAACGUGUUCUGGUACACCGCCUUCGCCACAGGUGGUCUUCAAUAGAUCAAAGGAUUUUACCCCUUCCUAUCGAGUACCGUGUACCUCUCCCACUCCCUAGCUGCACAGUAUUUUCGGCGGCCUAUACGUUAAGCGCAUAGAUUUAACCGAAAACUUAUGCAACCGGCUACGGAUGCUUUAGGCCCAAUAAACCUCCUGACCACUCGAGGUGCUGGUUUUACCGCGGCGGCUGACACCAGAACUUGCCCACCCCUUAUUCACCAGUGAUUCUACAACUGACAAAAGACUCCUUUAGCAGGAGACACUCGGAUUAACCUUGUCGUGCUUUCGCACAUUGCAAAGGUUUCUCGCCUGCUGCGCCCCAUAGGGCCUGGGUCCGUGUCUCAGUACCAUCUCCGGGCCCUC